rnacentral:lncRNA from 1 species
AUAAGAUUCGGGAGAUUAUUAUUAUUAUAAGAUUAAAGGAGAUUAAGGAUUAAGGAUAAAAUGCGAGAAAAGUGUCUCAGGGUUUGAGGCCUAGUUUGGAACUUGGAGCCAGAGUUCCUGCUGGAAUUCUGAGAUCCUGAGAAGGGUUGGAGUUUCCACCUGUCAGAGUCUCUGGAAUCUGAGCUUGGCUCUGGAGGCUGGUGGUUGUUGGAUCUCUGGGAUUUUCCUUGAAAACCUUGGGAAUACCAGAUUGACAGUUUGGAAGAGAAAAAAUGCAAGUUCCCUACCAAAUUCUAUAUGGAAUAGCUGCAUCAACUAAACAAAGUAAUGGAACCAGUAUGUGUUCUACCUCCCCCUCCUCUCAAUGGAACAGGAGAUGGGGGACAAUUGGCGUGGACCACUAUAUAUACUAUUAACACAGGCAACAUGUUGGUUAGUAUUUCUGAACAGUAUGUUUCUUUUUUUUUUCUUUUUGUUUAAAAUAUUUGGCUAUCUGGGGAGAGAUUUAUUUGGAAAUCAAUGUGAUAUAAAAAUAAAAAAUACUAUACCUCAGUAAUAAUAUGAUAAAAACCGUUUCAAAAUUGCACAUUUAUGUUAUUAGUAAUUUUCUACUUUUGACUUGCGUGAGAUCAUAUUUACAAUGGAAAGACUGAAAACAAAACCCCAAA